rnacentral:rRNA from 1 species
AUUGAACGCUGGCGGCAGGCCUAACACAUGCAAGUCGAGCGGCGCGUCGGACGGGUGAGUAAUGACUAGGAAUCUGCCCGUUAGUCGGCGAUAACGCCCGGAAACGGACCCCAAUACCGCAUUCUAUCAGAUGAGCCUCGGUUGGAUUAGCUAGUUGGGGGGGUAAUGGCCUACCAAGGCGACGAUCCGUACCUGGUCUGAGAGGGUGAUCAGUCACACUGGGACUGAGACACGGUCCAGACUCCUACGGGAGGCAGCAGUAGGGAAUAUUGGACAAUGGGCGAAAGCCUGAUCCAGCCAUGCCGCGUGUGUGAAGAAGGUCUGCGGAUUGUAAAGCUCUUUAGGUAGAGAGGCGGUACCUAAAGAGUAAGCACCGGCUAACUACGUGCCAGCAGCCGCGGUAAUAC